GCGUUACGGGAGAGGCGUCCGGCGCCUCUGGCCCCGAGCGGCCGGGCCGCUGCGGGGAAAGCUGAGAGGGCAAGAGGCACCGUCCCACCUCCCCGCGCACCGCCAGCAGCGGUCCCAGCCCCGCCGCUCUCCCGAGCCCCGCGGGCGCGCUGGGCCCGGCCCCCGUCCCCAGCCGCUGCCUUCAGGGGGAAGCUGUCACGUCGCAACGACAGGGGUUGCCGGCUUAAAAGUCACAGUCCCACUGCCGGGGUUGCGGACGUGGGGUGAGAGGAGCUGCCCGAGCUGAUGCUGAAUUUGUAAACGGGCCCCAGGUGGACACGUUGACAGUCGCUCCCCUCGCAAGCAACGAUGUGUCAAACUGCUUCCCUUGUAAGCUGACUGAAAUGCAGGUUUAGCUCGGGCUUUAACAAGUUACCCAAACCUCCACCCGGGCUUUUUUUAAUCCACAAGAAAGAAAAUGGACGUGGCGGUUUCCUGACUGUCUUUACUUAGACUUCACAUCUGGCCACUGCCACAGGCAGAGGUUUCCCAGAAUGGAGGGAACAUGGCACCAGUCACAGGCACCAGCACUGGCACGGUCCUGACUAAACAAGCUUCAGGCCAACAGUUGUGGAUUUUAAGUUGGCAAUCCUCUCCCAGGUGUGAUAGGAUUUAUUUGCUGCAGAAGCUGAGAGAGUGGUACAACACGCUGCUUCUCUCCUUCAUUGCCUUGUGUGACCCUGCGGAGAGAUGUGACACCAAAUGGCCUAGUCUGGGUGGACUGCAGGACUAGGAACCUAAUUAGCACCACAAACCUACACUAAAAUGAGCCUAGAGUGAUAGUUCUGUUCUGCACAUAAAUCUGGAUAAAAUACAGCAUUAGUACAAAUGUGGCAUUGACUUAAUUGUACACAGAAACACACGCUCAUUCUGAAAUCAGCCACCACUUUAAAGUGUCAUCCUUUCUCUAGCAUCUGUCCCUACACUUCUGUUUCAGCUGACGGAUGCUGCUGACUGAAAUACAGGUUUCCCCACAGAGGGGCCCCUGUAGCUUGGCAUUCUCAGUGUAUUUGGACUGUGUGUACUUAGUUGGAGAAGGGGUCAGGAUUUCAUACUGAGGUUUUAAGCAGAGCUCAGAAUUGUGCUGCAUGACACUCAAAGAGUUGCUUGAUGUCAGGGGGCAAGCAAAAGCUACAGGAAAGUUCAGCAGAAGCAUCUUGUCAUACAUCUGUGACUGUACUGGUACACCUGGAAGAAUAAUGAGCCCGCCCGUCGUGCUCAAAGAUGUCCUGCCGGCGAUUUUGCAUUCUCCACAUCGUCUCACGACAAAUGGUAGCAGAGGAUGGUUGGCAAAGCAGGAACUACAGAGCACAAUUACUGCGGUAAACAGCAUUCCUAAAGACGGAGCCAAGCCGGGUUGUAGGAGAGUGUGCUUUGUCCGGUAUCAAAAGACAAGCACCAGACAAGCUGGCCACUCGCCUUCUACUUUAAGACCGCGCUGAUAAUGGAUAUUGAAACAGCCGCGGCAUUGUUGACGAGUAUACUCUCUAAGAGAGGUAUUAAAUCGUCACAGGAAAACCUAGUCACAUUGAUUUUUUUAGCUCAGAAGUGGGGACACUCUGGAGAAACUCCACUUUCGUUUUCCCCAACGGAGUGGGACACAAUGUGGGAUAAGACGAUCAGAGGGGAAGAAGAGAAAGAAAUUAAAGCUCUGAGAGAAUUGUGGAAAAACGUGUUAGAAUCAUUAGAAGUAAUGAAGUCCAAACAAAGCGCUGUCCUGAGAGCCUCGAGGGCGCUUGUCCCAGAACAAACCUGGACUGAUAAAACUUGUCAGCCAAAAGAAAAGAGGGGCCUGUGGGCUACUCUGUGGGGUCUGCCUGCCGUUCGGGGUGGCCGGGGCUUCCCGGCUCAGCCAAUACUCUCACAAUCCGAUCUGCAGCGGGAGUUGGAAACUUCGCCGUCCGUAAACAAAGAACCGGGAGUUUUGCCGCCUGAGUCUCUGGGGCAAUGUGACAAGAAACCGGAAAUGUGACUAGGGGACUGUCCAGAUGCGGGAGGCCCUGAGUACCGCCCUCUACCUACAGCCCCACCUGUGCCCUGCCCCAAGCCAGACAUGCCCCCCUCUAAGACCAUUGCGUCAGCCGGGCCGGGGUCGCCCCACAACGUGCCUCCACAAACACCUGUGGAAGUUUCUUGUGAGCCUCCUUCUACAUCAUUGGGCUUACCCCAAGUAGUAGAGCAGUUACUGCAAGAGAUUACCAGCAAGCUUGAACAACUUGACUUGCGAAUUGUAGCAGCAGUUCAGCGAUCUACAAAUAAAUUAUAUAAACCAUCAUACAAUUCUUGUCAUCGCUGUGGAAGUAAAGAACACGUCCGAACGAAUUGUACUGCAGCAGUUUGGUGUGACAAAUGCCAGUCUAACAAUCAUGCUACAAAGACUUGCCGGAGAUCGGGAAACGGUCAAGUGAGCGCGAACGGAGUGCGCGCGAGGACACAAAGAACAUCUCCGAACCUGUAUUACAAUCAGCGACCAACCAUGAACCAGGUUUCUUUCACCUCAACAAGCCAAGCACCGCAGAAAGCCUCGGAGUUGAUGUGGAGACAGCAGUAGGUAUAACAUUGACCAAUACUGCAGUUCAUAGAAUACCAACAAAUGCUAAAGGACCUUUAUUUCGACAAGAUAGUCUCAUUGGAGGCCUAUUGAUUGGCUGUUCUUCUGCUAGUAUCAAGGGUCUUAUAGUAAUACCAGGGAUAAUUGAUGCAGAUUUCACAGGAACUGUUCAAAUCCUGGCCUACACUCUGCAUCCACCAAUUUUUAUUCCUUCUGGGAGUAAAAUAGCUCAGGUAGUAGCAUUGGAAAACUGCCUACCAAUGCUUCCAGGAGUUCCUCCAGCAUCCUUAGUAGAAAGGCAUGAUAAAGGAUUUGGAUCUACAGGUCCUGCAGUUUGCUUCACCUCAUCAAUGACUCAGCAUCCCAUGUUACGUGUACAACUAUUUCGAUCUGAUUCUACUGUUGUUGUAGAUGUAAAUGCAAUGCUUGAUACUGGAGCUGAUGUCUCCAUCAUUAGUCAAUUCAAAUAGCCACGAAAAUGGAAACUUCAAAAAUCAAUCUCUUCCACUGUAGCUGGAGUAGGGGGUCAAACUACUCCAAAUACAAGUGUUGAUCCCAUUUCCAUUAGUUUCCCUGAAGGUCAAUGUGUAGCCCUUAGGGUGUAUGUAAUGGAAUUGCCAAGCAGCCUUGAGGCACUUAUUGGAUGUGACGUCUUGGGGCAACUUGGUGCCGUGUUAACUACUUCACCUUUUCCUUAGUGGUCACUGGAAAGCAGUCACCCAGCCCUCCACUAACCUGGUUAACAGAUAGCCCAGUCUGGGUUGACCAGUGGCCAUUAACGCAAGAGCGACUGUAAAAGGCACAUGAAUUAGUACAAGAGGAAUUAGUUGCAGGCCAUAUCAAGCCUUCUACUAGUCCAUGGAAUACCCCGAUUUUUGUAAUACCAGAAAAGAGUGGAAAGUGGCAAUUAUCACAGUAUCACAGUAUGUUAGGGUUUGGAAGGGACCUCAAAAGAUCAUCUAGUCCAAUCCCCCUGCUGGAGCAGGAACGCCUAGGUGAGGUCGCACAGGAACAUGUCCAGGCGGGUUUUGAAUGUCUCCAGAGAAGGAGACUCCACAACCUCCCUGGGCAGCCUGUUCCAGUGCUCUGUCACCCUCACUGAGAAGAAGUUUUUUCUCAAAUUUAAGUGGAACCUCUUGUGUUCCAGCUUGAUCCCAUUACCCCUUGUCCUAUUAUUAUUGCCCCUUGUCCUAUUAUUACAUGACUUGUGAAAGGUAAAUGAUCAAAUGCAAGCCAUGGGUGCGUUACAGCCUGGAUUAUCAUAACCUGUAAUGUUACCAGAAAAUUGGCAUAUUCUAAUUGUAGAUUUAAAGGAUUGUUUCUUUACCAUUCCUUUACAUGAACAAGAUACACAGCGUUUUGCUUUUACACUGCCUUCUGUAAACAAAGCGGAACCAGCUAAAAGGUAUGAGUGGGUAGUGCUACCGCAAGGUAUGAAAAAUUCUCCUAUACUGUGCCAAAUGUAUGUUGCAUGGGCACUUCAACCUAUUCGUGCAUCAUGGAAACAAACUAUUAUUUAUCGUUAUAUGGAUGAUAUUCUGUUCUGUCAACAAGCUGAGUUCACAGAAAGUUCCAUAGUCGAAAUUAUGAUCAAACUCAAAGAAAAGGGGUUGGUCAUAGCUCCAGAGAAAGUUCAAAGGUCCGCACCUUGGAAAUCCCUUGGUUGGUCCAUUUGUGAUGCACAGAUUCGUCCACAAAAAAUCGAAUUACAUACUGAUUUACAGACAUUAAAUGAUGUCCAAAAAUUGUUAGGGGACAUACAAUGGAUUAGAAAUUGCAUAGGCAUUACUAACAAUGAUAUAGCACCUCUUACUUCACUUCUAAAAAGAGGUGAUCCAGCUAAGAAAAUAAGCUUAGAGUCCAUGCACCUCAAAUGUCUUUCCGAUAUUAUACAAAAGGUACAGACAAAUUGGUCUAGCCGAAUACUUUCUGAUUUCCCUUCUUAUUAGCAAUCUAGAACAUCCAUGUGCAAUCAUCUGCCAGUGGCAAAACAAAGAUGGGGAAUUCCCCAUAGAUCUUGCUACAGAUUCUUCCUUUUGUGCCACUGUCAGAUUGUAAACAGAAAAUUAUUUACGAUUAUUAGUAUGGCUUUUUCUUAGUGUCCAACCAAAAUUCAGCAUUCAAACAAGACCAGAAGCAGUUGGAGAAUUGAUUCGAAAAGGAAGAUCUUGAAUAAUAGAAAUUAGUGGUCAAGAACCAGAUGACGUCAGUAUUCCGAUAAAUGGAGCCGAUUUAGAAUGCUGGCUGAGAAAUUCGGUGCCUAUUCAGAAUGCAUUAUUAGGAUUUAUAGGCAAGGUACAUUCACGACAACCAAAAGGGAAGCUAUGGCAAUUCCUUAGAACAAAUCAGAGGUUAGAGAGAAGCAAAGUAAAAGCAAAACCUGUUGAAGGACUUACAGUAUAUACAGAUGCGGGAAAAUGAAGACACCAGGCAGCAUGUGUCUGGCAAGAGAAUAGUCAGUGGAAACAGCAUUUAAUUGAAGGUUCAAAAGAGGAUUCAUUGCAGACAUUAGAGCUCAUGGCAGUAAUAUGGGCCUUAAAUAACUGGCUGAAAUCUGCUUUAAAUGUUGUCACAGAUUCUUUGUAUGUAGCAGGUGUAAUACCCAGAAUGGAAAAUGCUCUGCUAAGACAAUCGAAUAAUCCUCGAUUAGGAAAAUUGUUUGUACAGUUGAGAGCUAUUUUAAAUCAAAGAAAAGAACCCUGCUGUGUGAUUCACAUUCGUAGUCAUCAAUGGAAUCUUGGUCUAGGUGAAGGAAAUCAAAUUGCAGAUAGUUUAGUAAGUUCAGUACAGCACAUGCCUCCAACAGAUAAAUUCCAACAAGCGAGACAAAGUCAUGAGAGCUUUCAUCAAAAUGCCAGAGGUCUGCAAAGACAAUUUGAUUUAACUUUAAAUGAAGCAAGAAGUAUUGUACAGGCAUGUCCUCAGUGUGGAGGCCAGAUGUUAGGUAUAGGAAUCGGUGUCAAUCCUCGAGGUUUAAAAGCCUUAGAAGUAUGGCAAAUGGAUGUGACACGUGCCAGAAUUCGGAAGACUUAAAUAUGUGCAUGUCACAAUUGAUACUUUUUCAAAAAUGAUAUGGGCUACUGCUUUACCAGGGGAAAAAGCACAACAUGUAUGUAAACAUCUCUCAGCUUGCUUUGCUGUAAUGGGUGUCCCAGAAAAGAUUAAGACAGACAAUGGCCCUGCCUAUGUUAGCCAGAAAGUUAGACCUUUCUAAUGAAAUGGGGAGUGAAACAUGUUACAGGUAUACCUCAUUCCCCAACGGGCCAAGGAAUCAUUGAGAGGGCACAUCAAAUGAUUAAAGGGUAUUUGAACAAAUAGAAGCAGGAAGAGUUAGAUUGCCAACAGUGUUUAGCAAAGGUGUUGUUUACCUUGAAUUAUUUAUGUUUAACUGGAGACCAUGAGGAGCCUCCUGUGAUCAUUCAUCAUUAUCAGAUCAGACUAGGAAGGAAGAACACUUUACCGGAAUUCAUGGUGAGAUAUCGUGAUCCCACCACUGGAAUGUGGAAGGGACCAGUACCUGUUAUUUUUAAUGGUAGAGGGUAUAUGUGUCUCUCUACAGAUCAAGGUCUAUUGUAGGUUCCAAGCUGAGCAGUAAAGCCGGAGUUGAAACAAAUUCAACUGAAUCAACUCCCUGCAACAGAACCUUCAGAGGACACAGAGUGAGGUGUAACCUUUGCAUUAAUUUAGCUGUGACAUGUAUGUGUAAUAUAGUUAUAUAAGUAGGCCUUUAAACACCACUACGUUCUGAGUAAGUUUAUCAACACCCAGCACAUUGUUUGUUACACGUUAAGUAGGAGUACCAUUAAACCAAAGUUCUUGAAAUUUGUUUAAUCAAUCCAUUGCAAUAUUUAAAUGGCAAUGGAAUACCUCAAGUAUACUAAGAAGAAAAAUAUUAGCGCAUGGUUUGACAACCCUGACAAUUGCUAUGAUCGCCUUCCCAUAGGGCCAGAGCCACAGGAAAUCAUACUGAUUCAUUCUUUGAACACCUCUUAUUGUAUUUUUAUAAAAAGAAAAAAGAAAGACGUAGGAUUUUUUGGUUUAGAAAGUUUAACAAAUUGGCUUGGCCUAGGGGGGUAGAUUAAGAGUUUAUUGCGAAGUACAUUGUUUCUGUUGAUUGUUGUUGUAAUUGAUAUGCUAUGUAUAAGUUGUCUUCUAUCACGUGUCAAAGAGGAAUUAGAACGCACAGCUAAUCAAGCCUGGCUUGUCCAAAAGGAAAAAAGAAGAAAAAAUAAAAAGAGGAAUUUGUGGAGAGUUUUUGGGCCGUAUGCUGUGAACAGGCCAGGGCUUGGGGUGACUGAGGUGCACUAGGACCGCACGGAAGUAAACAGAAGCUGGUCUGCCCUCGACCCAGGCUGCAGGAGGGGCACUGCCAUCGCUGCGCAUGAAAAGCAUGUGGACAGUGCCCUGCAGCUAAUCACCAUCGUGGUGGGGGGAAGAGUGACUGCAAGUGUAACCAAUCGUAGCCUGUGCUUGCCGCAUGGCCUUUCGGUAUAGAGUAUAUAAGGGUUGGAAAAACGUGGUCUGGGGACAUUGAUAUUCAGUGUUGUUAAGAGUUCAUUGAAGGGUACUGAUGUUAAAUUCAUAUUGAAUUAGACUCAUUACUCUCGCCUGCCCGCCCGUCGUGCUCAAAGAGGUCCUGCCGGCAAUUUUGCAUUCUCCACAUCGUCUCACGACAUCAGCACUGCAACUUCAUAUUAUAUUCUUCAAAACAUUAUCUUGCAAAAAUUAUAUGUCAAGUCAUGCUCUCUUCAGCUUCAUUGCUUCCAUGACAAAAGCCAGGGCAAUCAACAAAACUGUGAUCUUGCCUAGUAAGACCAUGAUGCUGAAGUCUGUUGCAAUUUCUACUGUGAAACCACUGAUGGCCUGACUGGCAAAACAGGCAGCUCAGCUUCAUGACAUUUAUUAUAACAGUUUUCCUUCUAUUUUUAGCCUGUAUACAAAGCAAAUUAGACACACUUAUUUAAUAAUAUUGCAUUUGUGGAUACAAGCAGCAGUUAUGUGGUUUUUAGUGUUAUCGUUGUCACGCUUCCUUCAAGGUGGUAGAAAAUGUGCAUAAAAACAUUGGGUAAGCAUUCCCCAUGUUUUGAGUCUUUUCUUACAACAAAACAAAACCUGGAAUGUUUUGGGGUAGCCGAAACUUGCACAGAUCGAUGCACAAUUUUGGAGACACGUGGAUUACAUGGUAGCAGGGCUUGCAGAGCUUAGGAAACUGCGUUCAUUUCUGUUCCUCUCUGUUCAAAAUUCAGAUGCUUUUACAUGUCUUAUCUUUUCAAAAUUAUCUCACAUUAAUAAUUGCACCGUUGCUCUUAAUUCAUGUUCUUAUGAGCAGUAAGGAGUGUAUUUAAUUAUUUAACAACUAUCUUGUACUUCUGUAGAUACUAAGUACAUUUUAAUUAUGAUCUACCUUCUCCAUAGUAUAAAAUGUGUCACUAAAAUGUAGUAGCAAAGUAAAAUAAUGUCUACAUUAAAACAGUAUCCAAAAUCAUGUCUCACUCUUUGCAAGGAUGUGGUGGGGUAGCCAGUGCUACCUGGUACCUUCAGUUCAGCUGGUGAGCUCCUACCUGCCAAUAGUCCAUCCACUGAGAAUGAAUGUUCACAGGCAUUUGCAAAUCUAGACUUGGCUUCAGAAGUAUGAAUACAAGGGGGAAAUUUAUCAUUUUGAUAACUAGAUCAGUUAUCCUGUUCAUGUCUGCAACUGAGAUAAUACAUUGAUGCACAAAGUUUUCAUUUUGGAAAACAGGCAAAUAGUUGCCAAGCUGGAAAGACAGAGAGAAAGUAGCAACGUAAUAUGCUUUAUUGUCUUUUCCUUGAAGCAUUCUUACCAUCCCAAUGUUUCUGGUGACAUCUGUCUUUGCUCAGUAGACAUGUGCCAUUGCAGUCCCAUCACCCUAUGCUGAGUUAUUGAAAAAACAACAUAUACGCAGCUCAGCAACACCCUGUUUACAGGAGAAAUGCUUGAAUUUCAGCACUUUCAACUUGGAGUGCUAUUUGGAAACACUUAGCUUAUAAAAAGUCUUACAGUUCAUGCUUUGACCUCACCAUGACCUGGACAUUUUGUUAACAAAGUACCCUGUUAAUGUUUUGAGCAAACGAACUAAUGUACUUGGGGCUGGUUGUAUUGCCAAAGUGGUGCUUGCUCCUAAAAAGGGAAAGUUCUAAUUCUAUUUUAAAAAGCAAUGUCUUAUUCCUAACUAUAUAUGGAAAUGUCAUCAAUCUGUCCUGGAAAAAGAGUGUGCACUGCAGUGCAUUGUAAUAGCUUGUGUUUCUGCAUUUGGUGUAACAAAUCUCGCCAUACGAUAGUGUGCAGUAGUAGUCUUUCGCUCUGUCUGUUUUCCCUCUGACAGCUUGAGUAGAUGUGAAUAUAAUUUUUGCUUUAAGCAUCAAAGCAUCAUCAGUGAAGUAUAAAAUAGCAAGCUAUUCAGAAGAGGGGAUAAUAAGACACAAAGCCACUCCCAACCAUAUUUACAACAGAAUUCUUUGACUGAGAUGUUUUUGCUUGUGUGUUUGUUUGUUUUGUUGUUGUUGUUGUUUUGUUUUGUUUUACUUUUAAUUGAGAUGUAAACUACUUGAACCCUUCAACCUCCAUGGGUGCAGCCUUCUGCUCUUGGGUCUUUUUUUGUCUUUUUUUUUUUUUCUUGUAAUAAAUGAUAGUUUAGCUAAAAAAAUGGAUUCUAAACAUUUCUAUCAGAGCCCUAUCAAUACCUGCU